rnacentral:rRNA from 1 species
CUGAAACAUCUAAGUACCCCGAGGAAAAGAAAUCAACCGAGAUUCCCCCAGUAGCGGCGAGCGAACGGGGAGCAGCCCAGAGCCUGAAUCAGUGUGUGUGUUAGUGGAAGCGUCUGGAAAGGCGCGCGAUACAGGGUGACAGCCCCGUACACAAAAAUGCACAUACUGUGAGCUCGAUGAGUAGGGCGGGACACGUGGUAUCCUGUCUGAAUAUGGGGGGACCAUCCUCCAAGGCUAAAUACUCCUGACUGACCGAUAGUGAACCAGUACCGUGAGGGAAAGGCGAAAAGAACCCCGGCGAGGGGAGUGAAAAAGAACCUGAAACCGUGUACGUACAAGCAGUGGGAGCACGCUUAGGCGUGUGACUGCGUACCUUUUGUAUAAUGGGUCAGCGACUUAUAUUCUGUAGCAAGGUUAACCGAAUAGGGGAGCCGAAGGGAAACCGAGUCUUAACUGGGCGUUAAGUUGCAGGGUAUAGACCCGAAACCCGGUGAUCUAGCCAUGGGCAGGUUGAAGGUUGGGUAACACUAACUGGAGGACCGAACCGACUAAUGUUGAAAAAUUAGCGGAUGACUUGUGGCUGGGGGUGAAAGGCCAAUCAAACCGGGAGAUAGCUGGUUCUCCCCGAAAGCUAUUUAGGUAGCGCCUCGUGAAUUCAUCUCCGGGGGUAGAGCACUGUUUCGGCAAGGGGGUCAUCCCGACUUACCAACCCGAUGCAAACUGCGAAUACCGGAGAAUGUUAUCACGGGAGACAC